rnacentral:rRNA from 1 species
UACGUAGGGGCGAGCGUUGUCCGGAUUCAUUGGGCGUAAAGCGCUCGCAGGCGGCCGGCCGCGUCUUGCGUGAAGGCCCUCGGCUCAACCGAGGGUGGUCGUAGGAAACGGGUCGGCUGGAGGUAGGUAGGGGGACGCGGAAUUCCCGGUGUAGUGGUGGAAUGCGUAGAUAUCGGGAGGAACACCAGUGGCGAAGGCGGCUUCCGUGGCCUGUUCUUGACGCUG